UCGGGUAUAGUCUAACGGUUAGGAUAGCUCGCUCUCACCGAGCAGGUCGGGGUUCGAUUCCCCGUACCCGAG